rnacentral:rRNA from 1 species
CGUAGGGCGCGAGCGUUGUCCGGAUUUAUUGGGCGUAAAGAGCUCGUAGGCGGCUUGUCGCGUCGUCCGUGAAAACCCGGGGCUCAACUCCGGGCUUGCGGGCGAUACGGGCAGGCUAGAGUUCGGUAGGGGAGACUGGAAUUCCUGGUGUAGCGGUGAAAUGCGCAGAUAUCAGGAGGAACACCGGUGGCGAAGGCGGGUCUCUGGGCCGAUACUGACGCUGAGGAGCGAAAGCGUGGGGAGCGAACAGGAUUAGAUACCCUGGUAGUCCACGCUGUAAACGUUGGGCGCUAGGUGUGGGGGGCCUCUCCGGUUCUCUGUGCCGCAGCUAACGCAUUAAGCGCCCCGCCUGGGGAGUACGGCCGCAAGGCUA